AUGUCAGCAUUGGUAACAUCAGAACUCAAUUUCUUUUCUUCAAAUACAGGGUUUCCAAUGGUAUCAGAUAACCCAGCAGAACUGGUGGAAAGGGUUGAACCCAGUGACGUGCUUGAAUGUUCCUUUCGCAAUCCUGACGUGAAGCCUCUUCCAAAGAAGUUGAAGCAUGAUGUGAAGAAGGAAACCUCCUUUUCUUGA